rnacentral:rRNA from 1 species
UACGGGGGGGGCAAGCGUUGUUCGGAAUUACUGGGCGUAAAGGGCUCGUAGGCGGCCAACUAAGUCAGACGUGAAAUCCCUCGGCUUAACCGGGGAACUGCGUCUGAUACUGGAUGGCUUGAGUUUGGGAGAGGGAUGCGGAAUUCCAGGUGUAGCGGUGAAAUGCGUAGAUAUCUGGAGGAACACCAAUGGCGAAGGCAGCUCGCUGGGACGUUACUGACGCUGAGGCACGAAAGCGUGGGGAGCAAACAGG